rnacentral:snRNA from 1 species
GUGCUCACUUCAGCAGCACAUAUACUAAAAUUCAAAUGAUACAGAGAAGAUUAGCAUUCCCCUGUGCAAGGAUGACAUGCAAAUUCAUAAAGCAUUUCAUAUUUUU